CCUGCGGUCUCUCCUUCACGGCGGCCGCUCCCAGCGGCUGUGUGUUCAUUUGUGUGUCUCUGAACACCAGGGCGUUCACACUGGCUUGGUGUCUGUCACCGUUUCAGGCUGUUAGUGUUUUGUGAGGAAAGUAGCUGUCAAAAAGGAUUUCUUAGGAACAUCUUCAUACAAGCAGGUAGCAUAAUUUUUCACUUAAAAACAUGAGCUAGGAUUUGACUAAAACCGUUAUUGCCAAUUCUUAGCUCAGAAUUGGCCUGGCGCCCCUGUCUAGGGAGCGAGGUCCCAGGACCCCGGCUGUGUUCUGUGGUGCCCACUUUGCAGGUGGCUGACCUGCUGGGCCGGGGUCUGCCUGGGCGCCCCAGAGCCUGCUCACUGCCCUUCUCUCCACCCAGAGUGCCGUACCCCCCUCCCAGGAGGAGAGGCCUGGCCCUGCUCCCCCCAGCUUGUCCCGGCAGCCUCCGCCCAGGAAUAAGCCCUACAUCUCGUGGCCCUCGUCAGGUGGCUUGGAGCCCGGAGUGGCCGUGCCUCUUAGGAGUAUGUCCGACCCCGACCAGGACUUUGACAAAGAGCCUGACUCCGAUUCGACCAAACACUCGACUCCAUCGAACAGCUCCAACCCCAGUGGCCCCCCCAGCCCCAACUCACCGCAUAGGAGCCAGCUCCCUCUUGAAGGCCUGGAGCAGCCAGCCUACGAUGCCUGAAGCCACCGGCCUCCCGCCUCACCAGCACGGGGCCAGGGCGCUGGGCGUGGCCCCCAGUCCAGUGCCAAGACUGAGCUGACCCUCCAGUGUUGUCCGAGGAAAUGCAGACUCAAGUUGUAGAUAUGGAGAUAAAAAUCUUUAUUAUAAUAAUGAUCAGUUUUAUGCCGCAUGGUUGGUGGUGGUAGGCCCGGCCCGCUCACCCGCACUGCUGGGGGACAGCGCCAUUCCGUUUGCACACGAAGGACCAGCACCAGCCUCCCCCGCCCAGCAGCAGCCGCGAAGGCGCGUGGGGCCCUGCGGAUGCUGGUGUCCCGUGCAGCUCGGACGCAGCCUCCGUGUCGAGCCUGUGCCCUAGGACCUUAGGAGACUCGUAGGAAGUUGUGUUUCAGUCCCAGUGUCACUAGAAUCUUAAAGACGGGAAAGCGGAGGUCAGUCAGUGGCCUUUCUUCACUUCGCCAUUACACUCAGCUGCAGACCUUCUGCUGAACCUGUAGCCAUGGCCAGAGGCCCCGAGCCACCCCUGCCCGGGGCCCGUGUGUGAGAGUCCGCUCCCGGUCACAGCCGUCAAGUGUCACUGUGAAGUCCACGCGCUCGGUCGGCUGCC